rnacentral:rRNA from 1 species
GGCUCAGAACGAACGCUGGCGGCGUGCCUAACACAUGCAAGUCGAACGUGAUUAGAGAGCUUGCUCUCUAUGAAAGUGGCGCACGGGUGAGUAACGCGUAGAUAAUCUACCUGAUGAUUUGGGAUAACACUUCGAAAGGGGUGCUAAUACCGAAUACGCCCACGGAGUCCUUGGACACUGCGGGAAAAGGGGGGGACCUUCGGGCCUUCCGUCAUCAGAUGAGUCUGCGUACCAUUAGCUAGUUGGUAGGGUAAAGGCCUACCAAGGCGACGAUGGUUAGCUGGUCUGAGAGGAUGAUCAGCCACACUGGAACUGAGACACGGUCCAGACUCCUACGGGAGGCAGCAGUGGGGAAUUUUGCGCAAUGGGGGAAACCCUGACGCAGCAACGCCGCGUGAGUGAUGAAGGCCCUUGGGUCGUAAAGCUCUGACAGAGGGAAAGAAAUGUGGAGUGGCUAAUAACCGCACCACUUGACGGUACCCUCAAAGGAAGCACCGGCUAACUCCGUGCCAGCAGCCGCGGUAAUACGGGGGGUGCAAGCGUUGUUCGGAUUUAUUGGGCGUAAAGCGCGUGUAGGCGGUUUUUUAAGUCUGAUGUGAAAGCCCUGGGCUCAACCUGGGAAGUGCAUUGGAUACUGGAAGACUUGAAUACGGGAGAGGGCAGUGGAAUUCCUGGUGUAGGAGUGAAAUCCGUAGAUAUCAGGAGGAACACCGGUGGCGAAGGCGGCUGCCUGGACCGAUAUUGACGCUGAGACGCGAAAACGUGGGUAGCAAACAGGAUUAGAUACCCUGGUAGUCCACGCCGUAAACGAUGAGUACUAGGUGUUGCGGGUAUUGACCCCUGCAGUGCCGCAGCUAACGCAUUAAGUACUCCGCCUGGGGAGUACGGUCGCAAGACUAAAACU